AUUGAACGCUGGCGGCAGGCCUAACACAUGCAAGUCGAACGGUAACAGGAAGCAGCUUGCUGCUUCGCUGACGAGUGGCGGACGGGUGAGUAAUGUCUGGGAAACUGCCUGAUGGAGGGGGAUAACUACUGGAAACGGUAGCUAAUACCGCAUAACGUCGCAAGACCAAAGAGGGGGACCUUCGGGCCUCUUGCCAUCGGAUGUGCCCAGAUGGGAUUAGCUAGUAGGUGGGGUAACGGCUCACCUAGGCGACGAUCCCUAGCUGGUCUGAGAGGAUGACCAGCCACACUGGAACUGAGACACGGUCCAGACUCCUACGGGAGGCAGCAGUGGGGAAUAUUGCACAAUGGGCGCAAGCCUGAUGCAGCCAUGCCGCGUGUAUGAAGAAGGCCUUCGGGUUGUAAAGUACUUUUCAGCGGGGAGGAAGGCGAUAAGGUUAAUAACCUUGUCGAUUGACGUUACCCGCAGAAGAAGCACCGCUAACUC
rnacentral:rRNA from 1 species